AAGAAAUAGUGGAUGAACUUGCAGACGAAGGCGCCCAGCACCCAGGAGGGCAGCGCGUAGACCGUGGCCUGGAAGGGGACGCAGAAGAGCAGGUCACUUUUGCCCUACGUUUCUCAUGCGAGUGGCACAAACACAAGCAGCGACGAGACGCGUUUAGGAGGCGGAAAGAGCGCGCCUGGUGUUGCAUCCCUGUUGUGAACCGUGGCUACACCAGAAGCUGAGGGAGCUAGUGUUGCAGGUGUACAACGUGACGACUGGACACGUGUCACGGGAUCGCUUGUUGGCCGCAGCAAAGCACAGCCUGUCCCUAGCGAUCCUGGUUUACUGAAUUGGGCCGCGUCCUGCUGGCUGUCCAUCCACCACUGUGAUAUUCUCCUCCUGCUUUAUUUUUGGACCCUAGGCAUUUCCCCAUUUCUUGAAAGCUUCUGUAUGGGCUCAAGUUGCUUUAAAAAAAAAAAAAAAAAAAAAAAAACCAGUAAGGCUUUUCAAUAUGGAGUCCAUAAUAGCGAUGGAAAAUUAUGUCCGAAGUGAGAUUUAAAAAGCAGACUUUAAUGCCGUAGGUGUAAUAAAUAUAUAUCGGGGGAGAGAAAAUUAUAAAAAUGUCCCUGAAGAAAGAACGUGAAAAGUUCCAUGGGAACAUGAAGAAACAAAGUUUCUUCCUACUCUUAUAUCUUCCUCUAUUUGGGGGCAGGCGGUGAGGUCUAGAAAUCAAGGUGAGGGGCACCCAUGGGGGCUCGGUCGGUUAAGCGUCUGACUCUUGAUUUCGGCUCGGGUCAUGAUCUCA